AUUGAACGCUGGCGGCAGGCCUAACACAUGCAAGUCGAGCGGAGCGGCGGACGGGUGAGUAAUGUCUGGGAAACUGCCUGAUGGAGGGGGAUAACUACUGGAAACGGUAGCUAAUACCGCAUACUGAUGGAUGGACCCGCGGUGCAUUAGCUAGUUGGUGGGGUAACGGCCUACCAAGGCGACGAUCCGUAACUGGUCUGAGAGGAUGAUCAGCCACACUGGAACUGAGACACGGUCCAGACGCCUACGGGAGGCAGCAGUGGGGAAUAUUGGGCAAUGGGCGAAAGCCUGAUGCAGCCAUGCCGCGUGUGUGAAGAAGGUCUUCGGAUUGUAAAGCCCUUUAAGUUGGGAGGCGUUACCAACAGAGUAAGCACCGGCUAACUUCGUGCCAGCAGCCGCGGUAAUAC
rnacentral:rRNA from 1 species